rnacentral:rRNA from 1 species
AAGAAAGUAAAUAAGGGCGCAUGGCGGAUGCCUUGGCUCUCGGAGGCGAUGAAGGACGUGAUAAGCUGCGAUAAGCUUCGGGUAGGUGCAAAUGACCUUUGAUCCGAAGAUUUCCGAAUGGGACAACCCGGCAUUCUGAAGGAAUGUCAUCCAACUUGGUUGGAGGCUAACGCAGGGAACUGAAACAUCUUAGUACCUGCAGGAAAAGAAAAUAAAUAAUGAUUCCCCUAGUAGUGGCGAGCGAACGGGGAUUAGCCCAAACCACCCAUGUUACGGCAUGUGUGGGGUUGUAGGACCACGCUCUCGCAAGACAGUUAUUGAGAAGAAACGACUGGAAAGUCGUGCCAUAGACGGUGAUAGCCCGGUAUUCUAAGGUAACCGAAGCGUAGUGGUAUCCUGAGUAGCGCGGAGCACGAGGAAUUCUGCGUGAAUCAGCCGGGACCAUCCGGUAAGGCUAAAUACUCCCGAGAGACCGAUAGCGAACCAGUACUGUGAAGGAAAGGUGAAAAGCACUUCGAAUAGAAGAGUGAAAUAGUCCCUGAAACCAUGCGCCUACAAGCGGUCGGAGCAGCUUAAGUUGUGACGGCGUGCCUUUUGCAUAAUGAACCUACGAGUUACUUUUUCCGGCAAGGUUAAGCAUCUUGAGAUGUGGAUCCGAAGCGAAAGCGA